GAAUCUUCUUAUUUCCAGUAUAACCAUCUCUGAUUAUUUCAACUGUUUCUCUAAGACAUGAUUUAGAGUGAUCUUUGGUGUUCUCUGAAUUAAUUCCACUCAGUCUAGAUCCUGAUAGUGACAUAACAUGUUUCACAGGGCAGGCAUGCAGUAAAAAUUUAUUGAAUUUGGUUGGGCAUCAUUGCUUUUUCACUUUUUCUGGGUCCUCUUUUACCAUUACAGAAAGACCUGAGCUCUUUUCUUUGGCACUAGCCUAUGGAGGUGACACCCAUCUCCUCCAUCAUGGCCAUCCUCAGACCCCUUGUGAAGCCCAAGAUCGUCAAAAAGAGCACCAAGAAGUUCACUGGGCACCAGUCAGACUGAUAUGUCAAAAUUAAGUGUAACUGGUGGAAACACAGAGGUAUUGGCAACAUGGUUCAUAGAAGGUUCGAGGGCCAGAUCUAUGCCCAACAUUGGUUAUGGGAGAAACAAAAAAAAAAAGACAAAGCACAUACUGACCAGUGGCUUCUGGAAGUUCCUGGUCCACAAUGUUAAGGAACUAGAAGUACUGCUGAUGUGUAACAAAUCUUACUGUGUUGAGAUCACUCAUGAUGUUUCCUCCAAGAACUGCAAAGCCAUCUUAGAAAGAGCAGCUCAGGUGGUCAUCAGAGUCACCAAUGCCAGUGCCAGCCUACACAGUGCAGAAAGUGAAUAGACAGCGAAUGUGUUUGUUUUAUUGGGAUUUAAACAAAACCAAUAAAACUGUAAAAACAAAAACAACAAAA